AGUCUCCCUGAAUCACUUGUACCAGCCUAUGGAAAUUCAUGUUUCCAAUUUUGUAUUUAUUUUUCUUAUGAUGCAGUAUACUGUAAAUUUGAAUAAUAUUUGUGUGCUUAUAGUGAGCUUAUUUUUAGGAGAGUUUGUUGCGAGGCAGCAUAUAUUUUGAUUUUUCAAAAUAUUACUGUAUAUUGGUAUGUUAUACUUAAUAUUAGAAUGUUAGGGUUUGGAAUCCAAGUGAGAAUAUAUACAUUUUAAGACCUAACCAGGAACGACUGCGAAAAAUGCAGCACAAGGUCCUCUGGUAGGAAUCAAACCUACGGCCCUGCGAUUCCGGUGCAGCGCUCUAACCAACUGAGCUACAGAGGCCAGCCGUUAAGCUGUAACCGUAAGUUCAUGUAUAUAUAGUAAUCAGGUGUGCGGGUUGUGAUAAGGUGGACUUCAUGACUUAGAUUCUGCACUUCACUUGGUGGAAUUAAUAUUAGAAUGAAUCCAAGUGAGAAUAUAUACAUUUUAAGACCUAACCAGGAACAACUGCAAAAAAUGCAGCACAAGGUCCUCUGGUAGGAAUCGAACCUACGGCCCUGCGAUUCCGGUGCAGCGCUCUGAGCUACAGAGGCCAGCUGUUAAGCUGUAACCGUAAGUUCAUGUAUAUAUAGGUAAUCGGGUGUGCGAGUUGUGAUAAGGUGGACUUCAUCAUGAUUCUAAUAUUAAUUCCACCAAGUGAAGUGCAGACUCUAAGUCAUGUUAUACUUAAUGCUUUUGGAAGAGUUAUAGGGGUCGGGUGUGAUAUACUUUUUCAGGUAUUUUGUGUCUGAUGUAUGUAAGAGCUUUAUUAUUGGGUUUCUUGGUGAGACCUUAUAUCUUAUGUGUCCUAUAACCCCCUGUAAUUGCGGAUUAUUGCAUACAUUCUAAUUGUUUUUUUUUUGUAGGAGUCUGAAGAUGCAAAUGAUACAAUUUCAAACUUAUCACAACCCAUAUUGUGGUCGUUGGCAUCGAACUUACUAGAAUACGACUAGAAACUGUCAAUCAUACGUUAUCGAGGGAAAGGAUGAAAGUUCCAUAACAAGCAACAGUUGUUUUGAUGCAAUUAUCGCCUUAUUGGCAAGUUUUUACAUCUUCAAUAUUGAGUACUGCCACACGAAGAGCAUCUUGUCUGCUUUGCAGACUAUAGUAGUGCAUGGGCAAGACAGAAAAUGGCAUAUACAGCUGCCAGUGAGGGUCACAGCCCUCUUCAAUGACUUGUCAUGACUCAUGAGUAUUAGUACUACAGUAAUUUUACACUUUUUGAGAGUUAUGUUGACAUAUGCUAACCCAAGUUAAUGUUAUUGAUGGAAUGUGUGUAUUGUCUCACAUCUCACCGAACUGUGGUAAUGUAUUAGAAAUUAUUCGUAUUGCGUUCAUGUUAACAACCGCGCCUGCUAUUGCUAUCACAAGUUGAUUGCUCUUUAAAAUUAGAAUUGUAAACUUUCAGAGCCAUAUGGCAUCUAUGUACGAAUCUUUUGAUGGUUCCCACAUUUCGGUGAGAUCCAUAAUACUGACUACUGUCCAUGUAUAUUGUAAUUUUAGUUAUAGUAUUGUGUUUAUAAUACAGAAAUUGGAACAUUUAUCUCAACUUAUAUUGCAAUAAUUCAUUCCAAUCUUGGUCUGUUGGAGAAAUUGUAAUAAUUUAAUCAAGACCAAAUAAACCCCAAUAUUUUGCCUGAUUCAUUAUAUACAUGUAGAAUACGUCUACAUGCAAGAGUGCAACCAAAUCCACAUGACUUUAAAUGCUAUAUAAAACGGCAC
rnacentral:lncRNA from 1 species